GGCUGGGAACAGGCAAAUGAAAGGGGGUGAGACUGGGGCACAGAGCUCAUGUGGGUUAAAAGGAGGAGGUGGGUGGAUGUGAGUGGCUCUUAAAAGUCAGAGUGCCUCCAGCUUGGUGAUAAAUGGCAUCUUAAACCCCCUUGUGAGUGAUACAGCAGGACAGAGCCACUCAGCUCCCUGGGUGUGUUAGGGCAACAUCUCCUCUCUAAGGAGGACGGCUGGAAAAGCUGCUAUUUUGAGCUUGAUUUGGAAUAAUAGAGCAGAACUGGCUGAAAGAAGUGGAAGGUGAUUUUGGGAAAUAAGUCACGAAAUAGUGGAGCCAAGAAUGCCAUGAGAAAAGGAGUGAAAACAGCAGAGUAAGGAUAAUGGGCUGCAAAAAUCUCUGAGAAUCAGGCAGCAACCCUUGGGAAAGUAAUCCAAGGGCUUAAGGAGCACAGGGAAGUUGGCAAUUACUUGAAGUGACUGCAUUAGGGCAGGCCACCACAACAACCCAUCCCAAGGAACAGGGGGAAGAUGCUGCAGGGAUUUGAUGGACCUGAGACACAGAGAAGAGCUGCAGAAAAGGGGACCUGAUGCCAGAGACCUGGCAAUGGGACCAGGGAGCAGCAGCUGAGCAGCUACAAAUGGGAGAUGGGAAGGUGCAGAUCAAGCUCCAGUAGUUGUCUGUUUUAGGCUGAGCAAAAACCCUUUUGGAAAUGCACAGGAAGAAGGAGAGCUGAGGAAAGCCCCAGAGUGUUGCUCAAAUGAAGGGAUUCACUGUGGACUUUGCUUCAGCCUUCCCUUGCACCCAGCUAAUUAGGAAAGGAUGAUUAAAUGAGGCAGGAGUCCAGUUUGAACAGAGAGCAGAAAACCUGCCAGGGUAUUUAGAGCAGUCAGGUGUGCUGGUGUUAGCAGGGCCUGCUGAGUUCCCCCUUGGGUGUACUUCCAGAGCUAAUCCAACCUCAGAAGUGUUCAGGGUUUUUCCAGUACUGCAAGCUGCAGUGGGGCAGCUUCAGGAGUUAAAGGCUCCAAAACUGAGCAGUGCAAGAAGAUGUUAUUAAGCAAUGAACGUGUAAGAACCUGGAGGAUAAUGAGGUUAGAAAGUGACACCUGGCAUGGGUUUGUCAGGGGCAAGUGAAGUGACAUUAAUUUGUCAUUUUCUCCUCUGACAGGAGAACCAGGCUGAUGGAAGGGGAAUGGUGCUGGAUGGGACGGGGCUUGGCUGGUGGAGGGUGGCAAGCAGCCUUGGGAGGGUGACCUGCUCUGCAGGGGUGGCUGGGGACCAUGAGCUUUAGGGGGAGCUGAAGAGCUGUCUCAUCACGGAGGAUUUAGAAAAACCACCUCAAUGCAUGGUGCCAUCAACUGCUUUCUGAACUGUCCCCCUGCGGCAGGCGGUGCCUGUGCUGCUGCACGAUGAUGUGCUCGCUUUUGUGUCCAGCUCUGCCCGUCCUAAUUCUUGCCUGUGCCCAUCAGGCGGUCCCCAUCACCACCAGCAGUUGCUCUUCAUGCCCCUCCGUGUGGUGGGCUGCCCUUCCUGGGGGCAUGAGGCCACCAGCAGCUGCUUCCCCCCACCCCAUCCAUCCCUGUCUCCUCGGUUCAAGACUCUGAAGGGCAACCCGGCCCUUGAGCAAACAUCGCAGGGCUUGCCCAGGUCAUUUGUCACAGUGCUUUUCAUGUCUCCUCUGCUCUGUAGCUCAUCUGCAGCACAGCCUCUCUCCUCGCCAGGAUGUGCAGCUCCACCGUGCAUCUCCAGGGACAGUGGUCCUGCCGCGCUCAUGGCACGCCUGCAUUUGUCUCAAGGAUUGACCCUUCGGUUAUUAUUAGCCUCGUGGUCACCUCCAGCACAGCCUGUCACGAUGAAUCAGAAAUAGAAUCUUCUCUGCACCACAGUCCUGGUUAAACCGACCAUCCCCUUCUACCUGCUGCAGUCACCGCCUCAUUAUAACUCCAUUACCUUUAACAACAACCCCAUUACCAUCCAUUAUCUUUCUUAUCAUCGCCUUUACAAGGCUGCUAUUUGCACCUCCUCCUUUACAGCCAUCCCCUCUUCAAUUACGAUUCCAUUAUCUUUAUUACCACCCCAUUACAGUCAUAAUUAUUCCCAUUACAAUUUUGAGAGCUGCAUCUCCAUCCAGACUGGUCGGUGUCUCCAUCAGCCCUACCUCCAGCUUCUCCUGCUCCGAGUUCCUCAUUGCUUUCCUCCACCUUCCCUGCAUUCCUAACUAUCCCCAUACCAAUGGUUAUAUUCUAAUUAUUUUUCAUUAUGGUUUUAUAGUCUUUUGCUGUUAUUGCUUCCUUUAUCAGCCAUUCUCAUCUCCCUGAAGUACCAUAGCUGCAGUGGGUACUGGGGUGGGAGCUGAGACUCAGGUCAGCGGUGUUACACUGAUCUGCACCAGCCCUGAGCAGCCGAUCUCUGUUGCAGGAGAUGAGGAAAGGGGCACGACCACCUCCUCUGCCACCUCCUGCCUGGGCAGAGGAGCAUCCCUGACCCUGCCUGAUUUUCCAUCCCUGGCACUGCACAAUGGCUCUAGGCUCCUUCUGCCCUUUAAAAUUAAAAGAAUAUCUGUGUGACAUUAGCAACAGUGGUUUCGUCCCAAGGGUUCAUAAGUCCUCAAGGUGCAGCACGAAGCAUCAGGUGCCAGAGAGGCUGGGGAGUCUCCUUCCCUGGAGGAACUCAAAAGCCAUCGGGACACACCUGAGUGAGGUGCUCCAGGAGGGAGCAGGGGGCUGGGUGGGAUGACUCAGGGGUCCUCUGUAACCUGACCUGUCCUGUGAUCCCGUUGGGGUUGCUGUCACUGUAGUUCCAGCUGUGUGCCCACCCCAAGAGCUGCCAGACCUGCCUCUGCUCCGUUCCUGCCUCCUUCAUCUUCCAGAAGCCACACUGGGCACGCAGGAGCAGCCCUUGGGAGCUUUUUCACCAGCACUAAGAGGGGAGAAGGCUUCUUGAGUGGCAUGGAGUGGGUUUCACGCUUUGGGGUGCCACAGAGGAGUCGGGUACCGUGCCACAUCCUGACCCCACCGAGGACAAGAGCCCUGACAGCAGAUCCAGUGCCCCUGCUCCUUGAGAGGACACUGAGAGAUUGGAGUGGUUACAGAGAGAGUCAGGAAACUGCUCAAGGACGGGGAAACCGCCGGCGUUGGAGAGCUCAGCCUGCUUAGUCCAUCACCAAGAUUGAGAGCAAGCCCAGCAGACCCUUGGCGUCAGCAGAUCCGAAGGAAAACCCAAAGUCCCAAACCUCAAGAGUCAGCCAGAUAAAACCAUCCCAACAAGAGCUUGCUCCAGGACUGAAAGCCAAGAGGAGAUGAUUCUUCGUGCAGCAAAAGCCCAUGCCAGUGUGUUUCCAAAGAAAACAUCCCCAGCAGUAUCACUGCUGAGCACUGAGAGGGAAGCAGUGAGCAAACCCUGUGUUUGGUACCCUGGACCAGCCCCCUCUGCCCCUGUUUUCCCCAGGAAAAGACUCAGAAUAACAGAAAUUCUUCAAAUGUUUCUUCUCCUACUUGUUUUUUUGCUGUUCCUAUUUUCUCAAUCACUUUCCUAAUAACUGCACAGGAAUUGCUGGGUCCUACCAACACCCAGCUGGGGCUCCAAGGUUCUCCCUGUCCUGGGACUGGACAAGAGGCAUCCCAGGCUGGAGCAAUGAAGGAGAAAGGCCCCAAAAUUUUUGGGGCAGGAGGGUGCAUCCUUCCCUGAGGCUGUGCUAGUGACACUGCUGCAAUGUCCCCGUGGUCCCCUGCAUGAGCUGGACACAGAGGUUCAGGACUCAGGACUGCUGGCAGCACUCACAGCACCAACACCUCUUGGACAAACCCAGCACGUUGUGAAGGACAGUCCAGUUCCCACCCCUAGGAGGAGUGUAUCACACAGAUUAUUUUAUUCUUUGCCUUUCACCGUGUGUAAUAAAGAAGAAUAAUUGACAAGCAGUGGGACCUGCCAUGCUGACACUUUAAUGGCAGCCUAUUUUGAGACACCAGAACUGCAACUCAGUGCUUCUAGAAGUUGUAAAAACUGUAGUAAAAACUACUCUUUUGUCCAAGUGGCUGUAAAAACUUGUCUCCAGUGAUAAGAGCAGCAUGGCUGCUGCCAGGUGCCUUGGUGUCCCUGCAGGGUCCUGGCCCCAGAACCAGGUGAUUGUCCCUGAUCCCCACCAGCAUCUGACCCUGCGGGAUGUGUGGAGACCUGAUGCCUGUGGGGGAAGACAAAGAAUCCUCGAGGUGGGUUUUUUUCCCACCCCAAACCUGCUGUAAAAAGUGCAUUUAAUCCCCUAGCCAGUGGCAGGGAGAGAGGGGAGGAAGCCAAGAGCAAAGCUGGGCAUGGAGAAGCUGUGGCAGGGGAGAUGUGCUCCUCCAGGAGGUGUCAGAAAUGCCUCUAUGCCUCUCUCUAGCUUUCCAGCACCAGGAUAUCCCUGUGUUUUCUCUGCCCUAAAACCAGCAGAAGCCCCCAUCAUGGGUGUUAAUAGCAGCAGCAUGCAUGCAUACAGGUUUUGGAGGAUCUUUUCAAGGUGCCAGGUGAUGCAGUCAGCAGUGCAGCCUGCCAGGGGCACAUUAAGGUGCCUCUCACUUUGUUUCAGACAGCUCUUGCCACUCAGGCCAUGAAAUGAAUGUCUGAGCAGACAGCUGGGAAAAUAGGGAGCUGUAUAAAGCAGCUCAGAGCUCGGUGGGGAGCUGAGCUGCAUUUGGGACAUGCUGGGCUGUGACUGCAUUUCCUCACCCUCCGGAGAUGCCAGUGGGGCAGCACCACGGGUACCACCCCAGCACUCCCUGACCUUCAGCUCCUGCCAGUGCUCUCAUUCUGCUUCUCAUUUACCCACCUGGCUCUUCUUUUGAGCCCUCCACCCCUUGCACAUUCAUCCAGCCCUCCAGCCACCCACUGCUUUAUUCCCUGUCUCUCCUGCCCAGCCUCUACCUUGUGCUCCUGGUUGGAGCCUCCCCUAUUUAUAUCCUCAACCUCUGCCUCCCUUUCCUGUCUCUUUACCCACACACCAAUCCUGUUUGUGGCCUCCAUCACACAUUGCAUGGAGCUUCUGCUGCCUCUCCUCUCUGCCCUCUCUCCUGAGCCACCCUCAGCUCCAUCUCCCCCACACACCAAGGUGAGGUGGAGCUUUUGGCACAGAGCAUCGGGUGCAGGAGCUGUGGGUGCCUCCCCUCCCUGAUGCACUUCUGGCCUGAUUUUUGGGGUUAGGCUUUGCCCUGUGCAUAGCUACCAAGAAACCUGCAGCUGACAAAUCCCAGCUCCUGCAUCCUUUCCCUUGGGGAUGCUCCGCCCUGCAGAGGACAGUGGGUUGGGGACAAAGCUCACAUUUCAGAGAUGUCCUGAGGCUGGCAGCUAGGGCAGCUUUCCCAAGCUUCCAGGCAGCUGCAAUUCCAGCCUGUUGGACCAUCCCCACUGUCCCACUGCCUUGGCACCACAGCUCCCUGCCUUUCCUUGCCCUCCCUGUUCCCACUGCCCCAGGCAUCCCACAAAGCUGCCUCACAGAGUCCAGCCUGUGAUUUUUGUGCCUCCUCUCCUUCCCAAACGUGGGAAUUUUCCUCUUGCUGAUUCACGCCUCUGUCACGUCACAUUUAUUUUUUUUUUAGCGCUGACGCUGGCUGUGCUCACCCCAGGGAAAGGCUAAAACCCCAAGCUGCUGCUCUGGGGACUGGCCCUCUGCCAGCCACGUGCUGCCAACUCAGCCAAAAACCCUGCAUCUGUGCUGAGCCAACCCAAAGCUCUCCCACUGCUGGGGUCAAAUAAGGGAAAUUUCAGGGGUUCAUUUUCCCCCUGCCUCCCUGAUCCCAACCCUGCGCUCCCAACUGAGUGCUCAGGCUGGCUACAGCACACCUCCAGCCUCAAAAACCAGUUUUGUAGUAUAAAAAUGCUCUGGACCAGCAGAGUGGCAUACAAGGUGGAGGGCCCCAGGGACAUCACCUGCAUCCCUGGGGGGAUGGAGCCCUUUGCAGCCCUGGAAGGGGUGUGGGAA